AAUGAACGCUGGCGGCAUGCCUAACACAUGCAAGUCGAACGAAGGCUUCGGCCUUAGUGGCGCACGGGUGCGUAACGCGUGGGAAUCUGCCCUUGGGUUCGGAAUAACUCAGAGAAAUUUGAGCUAAUACCGGAUGAUGUCGAGAGACCAAAGAUUUAUCGCCCAAGGAUGAGCCCGCGUAGGAUUAGCUAGUUGGUGAGGUAAAGGCUCACCAAGGCGACGAUCCGUAGCUGGUCUGAGAGGAUGAUCAGCCACACUGGGACUGAGACACGGCCCAGACUCCUACGGGAGGCAGCAGUGGGGAAUAUUGGACAAUGGGCGAAAGCCUGAUCCAGCAAUGCCGCGUGAGUGAUGAAGGCCUUAGGGUUGUAAAGCUCUUUUACCCGGGAUGAUAAUGACAGUACCGGGAGAAUAAGCUCCGGCUAACUUCGUGCCAGCCGCCGCAGUAACAC
rnacentral:rRNA from 1 species